rnacentral:tRNA from 1 species
GGGCGCGUAGCUCAGUUGGUUAGAGUACUUCCUUGACAUGGAAGGGGUCACAGGUUCGAGUCCUGUCGCGCCCACCA